UGAGUAUUUUUUCAUUGUGUUCCACUUUCCCGGGCAAGACUCACCCCUCGAAGCUGUGGUCUGCUCAGGAAGAAGCAGAAAAAGAUGGCGCUCACCAGCUUUUUACCUGCGCCUACUCAGCUUUCACAGGACCAACUUGAAGCUGAAGAAAGGGCAAGAUCUCAGAGGUCACUGCAGACCUCUCUGGUCUGGUCUCGAAGGGAGCCUCCCCCAUAUGGAUAUAGGAAAGACUGGAUUCCAAGGCUAUUAGAGGAUUUUGGAGAUGGAGGUGCUUUCCCAGAAAUCCAUGUGGCCCAGUAUCCUCUGGAUAUGGGGCGAAAGAAACAAAUGUCGAAUGCUCUGGCCAUUCAGGUGGAUCCUGAAGGGAAAAUUAAAUAUGAUGCAAUCGCUCGACAAGGACAGUCCAAAGACAAGGUCAUUUAUAGCAAAUACACUGACCUGGUUCCAAAGGAGGUGAUGAAUGCAGACGACCCAGACCUGCAAAGACCCGAUGAAGAGGCAAUUAAAGAGAUAACAGAAAAGACAAGAGUUGCCCUGGAGAAAUCUGUAUCGCAGAAGGUCGCUGCAGCCAUGCCAGUUCGUGCAGCUGACAAGCUGGCUCCUGCUCAGUAUAUCCGCUACACACCAUCUCAACAGGGAGUAGCAUUCAACUCUGGAGCUAAACAGAGGGUUAUUCAGAUGGUAGAAAUGCAGAAAGACCCAAUGGAGCCUCCAAGAUUCCAGAUUAAUAAGAAAAUCCCCCGGGGUCCUCCGUCUCCUCCUGCACCUGUGAUGCACUCUCCUAGUCGGAAGAUGACUGUAAAGGAACAGCAAGAGUGGAAGAUCCCUCCGUGUAUUUCUAACUGGAAGAACGCUAAGGGGUAUACAAUUCCAUUGGACAAAAGGCUGGCUGCUGAUGGAAGAGGACUUCAGACUGUCCACAUAAAUGAAAAUUUUGCCAAACUUGCUGAGGCGCUCUACAUUGCUGAUCGGAAGGCUCGAGAAGCCGUGGAAAUGCGAGCCCAAGUAGAGAGAAAGAUGGCUCAGAAACAAAAGGAGAAACACGAAGAGAAACUUAGAGAAAUGGCUCAGAAAGCCAGAGAAAGGAGAGCCGGGAUCAAAACCCAUGUGGAGAAAGAGGAUGGUGAGGCCCGUGAAAGAGAUGAAAUCCGUCAUGACAGGCGAAAAGAGAGGCAGCAUGAACGGAACCUGUCCAGAACAGCUCCUCAUAAGAGAUCAAAACUACAGAGAAAUGAAAAUCGAGAUAUCAGUGAAGUCAUUGCUCUUGGUGUGCCCAAUCCUCGAAUUUCCAGCGAAGUUCAGUAUGACCAAAGGCUCUUCAACCAAUCCAAGGGUAUGGACAGUGGAUUUGCAGGUGGAGAGGAUGAAAUUUACAAUGUUUAUGAUCAGGCCUGGAGAACAGGGAAAGAUAUGGCUCAGAGCAUCUACAGGCCCAGUAAAAAUCUGGACAAGGACAUGUAUGGUGAUGACCUGGAAACCAAGAUAAAGACCAACAGAUUUGUUCCUGAUAAGGAGUUUUCUGGUUCAGACCCUAGACAGAGAGUCCGAGAAGGACCAGUUCAGUUUGAAGAGGAUCCUUUUGGUUUGGACAAGUUUUUGGAGGAAGCAAAACAGCACGGCGGCUCUAAAAGACCCUCUGGUAGCAGUCGCCCCACGGAGCAUGGGCAUGAAUGCAAGAAGCGGAGGAAGGAGUAG